GAUCCGGUGGGAGGGAACAUCUGGAACAUUAGACAGGAUGCUGAUCUUCUGGACAAUCACACUUUUCCUGUUGGGAGCAGCCAAAGGAAAAGAAGUUUGCUAUGAGGACCUUGGGUGCUUUUCUGACACUGAGCCCUGGGGCGGGACAGAAAUCAGGCCCCUGAAAAUUCUCCCCUGGAGCCCUGAGAAGAUUGUCACCCGCUUCCUGCUGUAUACCAAUGAAAACCCAAACAACUUUCAAAUUCUCCUCCUCUCUGAUCCAUGAACAAUUGAGGCAUCAAAUUUUCAAACGGACAGAAAGACCCGGUUCAUCAUCCACGGCUUCAUAGACAAAGGAGAUGAGAGCUGGGUAACAGAUAUGUGCAAGGUAGGAGUCGGCUCUGAUCCCUGUGGCCAGCUGAGGCCAACACUUCUGCUAACAUCUCUGCCUCACUUUAUGAACUCAAGAAAUCUUUACAUAUUAGGUAACUUUAUGCAAUUAAAAUGCUUCUCUUCACAAAAAUUAAAAUGCCUUUCCAUGUUUCUGCACUACAUCUGCACCCUGAAGCAACCACAUUUGCUAUUAGAAAAGUACUCCUACUAUCUAAUUUCUGGUUAAACCAAGGCCUGAUGUUUUCUGCUUCCAUUUGUAGUGAGGGUACUUUGUAUCCUAUAAGCAAGGGACUAUAGGGGUUUUUUUGUUCAAAUUUUUCCCAUAUCCCUGAGAGGCUAACAUGUGUUGCUGUGACCAUUUAAAUGAUCCCAGAACUUUGGGAGGCCAAGGUGGGUGGAUCACCUGAGGUCAGGAGUUCGAGACCAGCCUGGCAAACAUGGUGAAACCCUAUCUCUACUAAUAAUACAAAAAUCAGCCUGGUGUGGUGGCAGGCUCUUGUAGGCCCAGCUACUCGGGAGGCUGAGGCAGGAAAAUUGCUUGAACCCAGGAGGCAAAGUUUGCAGUGAGUCAAUAUUGUGCCGCUAAACUCCAGCCUGGGCAACAGAGUGAGAUUCCAUCUCAAAAAAAAAAAAGAAAAAAAAGAAAA
rnacentral:sRNA from 1 species